GUUGGCUGGUAGGAGGUGCUGCAGAGAGACCCCUACCUGGCUCUCAUCCUCUCUCAGUGGCAAGUCCAUCUAGUUCAGACUCAGACAGGUGGAAGAAGUCAGCUCCUAGCUAGGGUAUAAUGAAGCAUGAUGGAAGUAUUUGACCCAGUGGCUCUUCUAUACCCAGGAGGCCCUGACUGCCACAUUCACCAGUUGAUUUUCCAGACAAAUGGAAUCUGA
rnacentral:lncRNA from 1 species